GACGAACGCUGGCGGCGUGCCUAAUACAUGCAAGUCGAACGGUCUUUUCUAUGGAAGCUUGCUUCCGCUGAGAAGAUAGUGGCGAACGGGUGAGUAACACGUGGGUAACCUGCCCAUAAGAGGGGGAUAACAUCCGGAAACGGGUGCUAAUACCGCAUAGUUUUCUUGAUCGCAUGAUUGAGAAAGGAAAGACGGCCUUUGUGCUGUCGCUUAUGGAUGGACCCGCGGCGUAUUAGGUAGUUGGUGAGGUAACGGCUCACCAAGACGAUGAUGCGUAGCCGACCUGAGAGGGUGAUCGGCCACAUUGGGACUGAGACACGGCCCAAACUCCUACGGGAGGCAGCAGUAGGGAAUCUUCCGCAAUGGACGAAAGUCUGACGGAGCAACGCCGCGUGAGUGAAGAAGGUUUUCGGAUCGUAAAACUCUGUUGUCAGAGAAGAACAAGUCGGAGAGUAACCGCUCCGGCCUUGACGGUAUCUGACCAGAAAGCCACGGCUAACUACGUGCCAGCCGCCGCAGUAACAC
rnacentral:rRNA from 1 species